AUUUCAUGAAGUUUAUUAUUAGCUCUAUCUG
rnacentral:siRNA from 1 species